rnacentral:tRNA from 1 species
GCUCGCUUAGCUCAGUUGGUUAGAGCGUGUAAGUUACCAUUCCAAUCAAAAAAGAUGUGAGAAGUUACUAAUUAUGGUUAUAGGGUGCUAAUAUCAGAUGUCUGAUACGCCAAGGUCGCCGGUUCGACCCCGGUAGUGAGCA